UACGGAGGGUGCGAGCGUUGUCCGGAAUCACUGGGCGUAAAGAGCGUGUAGGCGGCCAGAUAAGUCCGCUGUGAAAUCUCGAGGCUCAACUUCGAGCUGUCGGUGGAAACUGUCUGGCUAGAGUCCGGAAGAGGAGAAUGGAAUUCCUGGUGUAGCGGUGAAAUGCGCAGAUAUCAGGAAGAACACCCGUGGCGAAGGCGGUUCUCUGGGACGGUACUGACGCUGAGACGCGAAAGCGUGGGGAGCGAACAGG
rnacentral:rRNA from 1 species